rnacentral:rRNA from 1 species
UUGAACGCUGGCGGCAGGCCUAACCCAUGCAAGUCGAACGGUAACAGGAAGCAGCUUGCUGCUUUGCUGACGAGUGGCGGACGGGUGAGUAAUGUCUGGGAAACUGCCCGAUGGAGGGGGAUAACUACUGGAAACGGUAGCUAAUACCGCAUAACGUCGCAAGACCAAAGAGGGGGACCUUAGGGCCUCUUGCCAUCGGAUGUGCCCAGAUGGGAUUAGCUAGUAGGUGGGGUAACGGCUCACCUAGGCGACGAUCCCUAGCUGGUCUGAGAGGAUGACCAGCCACACUGGAACUGAGACACGGUCCAGACUCCUACGGGAGGCAGCAGUGGGGAAUAUUGCACAAUGGGCGCAAGCCUGAUGCAGCCAUGCCGCGUGUAUGAAGAAGGCCUUCGGGUUGUAAAGUACUUUCAGCGGGGAGGAAGGGAGUAAAGUUAAUACCUUUGCUCAUUGACGUUACCCGCAGAAGAAGCACCGGCUAACUCCGUG